GCUGAGCUGAGUAACGUUAGCUUGUAACCUAAGUGGGGGCAAUAAAGUGAUGGGACAUGGCUCGGGCUAUGCUCGGUCGGGCUGUUAGAUGCAUAAUUCUGGCCUGCCCGCUCCAAGUUAAGAGCUGAGUCAUGGGAUUUGGGCGAAGGCUCAGGUCUCUUGGCUCCUAAACUGGAGGGCACAGCGUGAGGCUGGUUUAACAGAGCAGCGAGCACCUCCGGCUCCUGACAGUGGAGGGAUAACAGGCUGCAGCACUUUCAGCCCACCAUGACCGGGUGUACCAAGCUCCUGAACCAUCAUUUUU
rnacentral:SRP_RNA from 11 species